CAUGUUUCUCCGGGGAGAAACUGGAGAAUAGCAUGUCCGGCAGAAAUAGUGUUCCUGAUCCAGCUUUGAACGUCCAGUUGCGGAUAAUGAGCGAAUGUUUGAUGUUCUUCAACGAUUUGGAAGUCAGAGGAACGAAGUUCGCUUCUUCCUUCGUCAUGAACGCCCCCCUGGCAGGGACAUUGUGAGUGGACCAAGAUCUCAGGAUCCAAGUUUAAAAAGAAAUGGUGUAAAAGUUCCUGGUGAAUAUCGAAGAAAGGAGAAUGGUGUUAAUAGUCCUAGGAUGGAUCUGACUCUUGCUGAACUUCAGGAAAUGGCAUCUCGCCAGCAGCAACAGAUUGAAGCCCAGCAACAAUUGCUGGCAACUAAGGAACAGCGCUUAAAGUUUUUGAAACAACAAGAUCAGCGACAACAGCAACAAGUUGCUGAGCAGGAGAAGCUUAAAAGGCUAAAAGAAAUAGCUGAGAAUCAGGAAGCUAAGCUA
rnacentral:sRNA from 1 species